CUACAUUUGCUAGAUUAUUUGCUAGAUUUCUUUUUAUCCGACCUUAGCCCUCAAGAAACCAGUCAACAAGUACCCGUCCUUGGGCCAAGUCGGUGACGUCUAAGAUAAGUACAAUCAGUUAUGCACAAAAACAGAGGCACAUAACUACAUACAUACUAAAUGCAUAUAUACACUAACAAUACACAACACUAAAUCAAGUCUCCCACCCCACACAAAAAGAAUAUGGCAUAUCCCCAUGUCAUAAAACAAAUAAAGUGCAAAAGGGUAAGAAAACUUCCCUAGUCAUCACUCGGAGUCGGAGACGGUGUUGAGGUACAUUUAACAAGCUAUCCCUAUAGCGCGGAACCAAGCCAUCAUACGGCUCUCAGACCUGGCUUGCCGUCUAAACAUGGCAUCCAAACGUACAUGUAGGCCAUCUACCGAGGUGCAAAGUUCUGCUACCUGUUCCUCCAAAGAGGGCAACUUCGGUCGGCUGGAGUGUGAUCUAGAGAACCCCUCCACAGUGUGGGCUCGCCGAGAGGAUCCAAGUACAUUAUAUGAUCUCCUAGGUAGUGCCAUGGGUGUUGGGGCGUCAUCAUCGUCAUCAAGCUCA
rnacentral:lncRNA from 1 species